UACGAGUGACCUACAUGAAAAUCUAUAAUGAAAAAAUCUCAGAUCUUUUGUCUAGCGAGGAAAAGGUCAUCAAGAGCAGCUAAAAGUUAGUACUAACAAGAAACAGGCCAAAGUGCUACACAUCUCUGCAAUCGGUUCACAAAAUUUAAUCAAAGUUAUUUUGUAAAUAUUGGCAAACUCUGAUACAAGAAAGAUGUCAUUUCAAGAAACUAAGAUAAACCGACUUGGACGAUUAGGUGGCAGAGAUGUCCUGUCCAUCGUUAACAACAUCAUGAAGAAUCUCAGUGUCACUUAUGUACAACCCCUUUACAAUUGGACAGGAUAAAAAGGCAAGCGUGAAUUAGGGGCACAUGCUACAGCUACCAUUGUUUUUAAUCCAGUCAGAAGAAAUCCAAUGUUUUGAAACACCACAAACAAGGAAAUCAAAGCUGCAGUUAGUCGUUUAAACUGGUUUCCUGACAAAUUCAAGGGACGGGAUGGUGGGAGAUCUCAACGAAUUUCAAC